GAUGAAGAACGUAGCGAAAUGCGAUACGUAAUGUGAAUUGCAGAAUUCAGUGAAUCAUCGAGUCUUUGAACGCACAUUGCGCCCCCUGGUAUUCCGGGGGGCAUGCCUGUCCGAGCGUCAUUGCUGCCCUCAAGCACGGCUUGUGUGUUGGGCCUCUGUCCUCCUCCCGGGGGACGGGCCCGAAAGGCAGCGGCGGCACCGCGUCCGGUCCUCGAGCGUAUGGGGCUUCGUCACCCGCUCUUGUAGGCCCGGCCGGCGCUUGCCGACACAUCAAUCUUUUUUCCAGGUUGACCUCGGAUCAGGUAGGGAUACCCGCUGAACUUAAGCAUAUCAAUAAGCGGAGGA
rnacentral:misc_RNA from 1 species